rnacentral:rRNA from 1 species
GACGAACGCUGGCGGCGUGCUUAACACAUGCAAGUCGAACGAAGUGGCGAACGGGUGAGUAACGCGUAAUCAACCUGCCCUUCAGAGGGGGACAACAGUUGGAAACGACUGCUAAUACCGCAUACUGAAGGAGGGGAAUGCGGCUGAUUAGCUAGUUGGAGGGGUACCGGCCCACCAAGGCGAUGAUCAGUAGCCGGGUUGAGAGUAUUAACGGACACAUUGGGACUGAGACACGGCCCAGACUCCUACGGGAGGCAGCAGGGGGGACUCUUCCGAAAUGGACGAAAGUCUGACUGAGCAACGCCGCGUGAGUGAUGACGGCCUUCGGGUUUUAAAGCUCUGUUAAUCGGGACGCGGUACCGGAAUAGAAAGCCACGGCUAACUACGUGCCAGCCGCCGCGGUAAUUC